UAAUUAGGCUUGGUUAGUGAGGAAAAUUGGCUCUAAAUUCUUUAUAUUUUAUAUUGAAAAUUAUCUAAUUAGAAGAUAAGAUUUACUUAAUAAAUAAAAAUUAUUGAGAUUUAGAGUAUACUCUAGUUAAUUUUGUGCCAGCAACAGCGGUUAUACAAAAAGAGAAAUUUCUGAAAUUAAAAAUUUAAUUUUUAAUUUAAAUUAAUUAUUAAAAAUAAAGGUGAAAUUUUUUUUUUAGUUUAAAAAAAAUUAAAAAUAAUAAUUCUAUUUUUAAACUAGGAUUAGAUACCCUAUUAUUAUGAACUAUAUAUUGUUAGUAUAUAAAUUUUAUGAAAACAAAAAAUUAUGGCGGUAUUUUAAGCUUUUCAGAGGAAUUUGCUCUUUAAUGGAUAAAACACCUAAAUCUUACUAAAAUUAGUUAAGCAGUUUGUAUACCACUAUUUAAGUAAUAAUUUAUUAUUAUUACUAUAAUUUAUAUAAAUAAAAAAAGUUAAGUCAAGGUGCAGCUAAAAUUUUAGAAUGAAGUGAAUUACAUUACUUUUAAGAGAAAUAAGUUGAAAAUAAGUUUUAGGAUUUGAAAGUAAAAUUUUAAUAGAAAGAAGAUUUGAAUUUAGCUCUAAAAUAUGUACAUAUCGCCCGUCGCUCUUUUUUGAAGAUAAGUCGUAACAAAGUUAAAGUACUGGAAAGUGCUUU
rnacentral:ncRNA from 1 species